GCUAUUGCCCCUUAAAAACAUCCGAUAGAAUUGGAACGAUACUGAGAAGCUUAGCACAACCUCUACAUCAGGAUGACACGCACAAAUCAAGAAAUUAUAUU